rnacentral:rRNA from 1 species
GACGAACGCUGGCGGCGUGCCUAAUACAUGCAAGUUGAGCGAUGAAGAUUGGUGCUUGCACCAAUUUGAAGAGCAGCGAACGGGUGAGUAACGCGUGGGGAAUCUGCCUUUGAGCGGGGGACAACAUUUGGAAACGAAUGCUAAUACCGCAUAAUAACUUUAAACAUAAGUUUUAAGUUUGAAAGAUGCAAUUGCAUCACUCAAAGAUGAUCCCGCGUUGUAUUAGCUAGUUGGUGAGGUAAAGGCUCACCAAGGCGAUGAUACAUAGCCGACCUGAGAGGGUGAUCGGCCACAUUGGGACUGAGACACGGCCCAAACUCCUACGGGAGGCAGCAGUAGGGAAUCUUCGGCAAUGGACGAAAGUCUGACCGAGCAACGCCGCGUGAGUGGAGAAGGUUUUCGGAUCGUAAAACUCUGUUGGUAGAGAAGAACGUUGGUGAGAGUGGAAAGCUCAUCAAGUGACGGUAACUACCCAGAAAGGGACGGCUAACUACGUG